UACGUAGGGAGCAAGCGUUGUCCGGAAUCAUUGGGCGUAAAGCGCGCGUAGGCGGCUCUUCAAGUCAGGCGUGAAAGCCCCGAGCUUAACUCGGGAACUGCGCUUGAUACUGUCGAGCUAGAGUGUGGAAGGGGCGAUUGGAAUUCCGUGUGUAGCGGUGAAUGCGUAGAUAUACGGAGGAACACCAGGGGCGAAGGCGGAUCGCUGGGCCAACACUGACGCUGAUGUGCGAAAGCUAGGGGAGCAAACGGG
rnacentral:rRNA from 1 species